CCAACCGGCGUCUAAUACUGCAGUCGAGCGGACAGAUGGGAGCUUGCUCCCUGAUGUUAGCGGCGGACGGGUGAGUAACACGUGGGUAACCUGCCUGUAAGACUGGGAUAACUCCGGGAAACCGGGGCUAAUACCGGAUGCUUGUUUGAACCGCAUGGUUCAAACAUAAAAGGUGGCUUCGGCUACCACUUACAGAUGGACCCGCGGCGCAUUAGCUAGUUGGUGAGGUAAUGGCUCACCAAGGCAACGAUGCGUAGCCGACCUGAGAGGGUGAUCGGCCACACUGGGACUGAGACACGGCCCAGACUCCUACGGGAGGCAGCAGUAGGGAUCUUCCGCAAUGGACGAAAGUCUGACGGAGCAACGCCGCGUGAGUGAUGAAGGUUUCGGAUCGUAAAGCUCUGUUGUUAGGGAAGAACAAGUACCGUUCGAAUAGGGCGGUACCUUGACGGUACCUAACCAGAAAGCCACGGCUAACUACGUGCCAGCAGCCGCGGUAUACGUAGGUGGCAAGCGUUGUCCGGAAUUAUUGGGCGUAAAGGGCUCGCAGGCGGUCCUUAAGUCUGAUGUGAAAGCCCCCGGCUCAACCGGGGAGGGUCAUUGGAAACUGGGGAACUUGAGUGCAGAAGAGGAGAGUGGAAUUCCACGUGUAGCGGUGAAAUGCGUAGAGAUGUGGAGGAACACCAGUGGCGAAGCGACUCUCUGGUCUGUAACUGACGCUGAGGAGCGAAAGCGUGGGGAGCGAACAGGAUUAGAUACCCUGGUAGUCCACGCCGUAACGAUGAGUGCUAGUGUUAGGGGGUUUCCGCCCCUUAGUGCUGCAGCUACGCAUAGCACUCGCUGGGGAGUACGGUCGCAGACUGAACUCAAGGAUGACGGGGCCGCACAGCGUGAGCAUGUGUUUAUCGAGCACGCGAGACUAACAGUCUGACAUCUCUGACAUCCUAGAGAUAGACGUCC
rnacentral:rRNA from 1 species